rnacentral:rRNA from 1 species
GCUUACGGUCACACUACCCUGAGAACGCCCGAUCUCGUCUGAUCUCGGAAGCUAAGCAGGGUUUGGCCUGGUUCACGUUACCUCUGGAUGCUGGAGACCACCUGGGAAUACCAGGUGCUGUAAGCU